rnacentral:sRNA from 1 species
AAAAUUUCCAGCCAAAUUUUUUUUUCAAAAACAUUUUUCCCGCCAAAAUAUUUCCCGCCAAAAAAAAAUUUAGAAAACACUUUUCCCGUAAAUUUUCUUUUUGGCGGGAACUAGAUUUACAAGGAAUUUUAAAAGGGUUUUAAAAUAUUUUAAAAGAUUUACAAGAGAUUUUAAAAGGGUUUAAAAGAUUUACAAGAGAAUUUAAAAGGGUUUUAAAAGAUUUACAAGGGAUUUGAGAGGGCUUUAAAAGACUUACAAGAGUUUUUUAAAGAUUUUUAAAGGGUUUAAAAGUGUUUUAAAAGAUUUACCAAGAAUUUUAAAGGGUUUUAAAAGAUGUACAAGAGUUUUUAAAAGAUUUUAAAAGAAAUUAUAAGAAAACCCUUUAAAAACUCUUGUAAAUCUUUACAAAAUUGUUCAAAAAGAGUUGUAAAUGUUUUAAAUACUUACAA